AAAUUGAAGAGUUUGAUCAUGGCUCAGAUUGAACGCUGGCGGCAGGCCUAACACAUGCAAGUCGAACGGUAACAGGAAGCAGCUUGCUGCUUCGCUGACGAGUGGCGGACGGGUGAGUAAUGUCUGGGAAACUGCCUGAUGGAGGGGGAUAACUACUGGAAACGGUAGCUAAUACCGCAUAAUGUCGCAAGACCAAAGAGGGGGACCUUCGGGCCUCUUGUCAUCGGAUG
rnacentral:rRNA from 2 species